UUUGUUUGAAGGCUGAGCAGAUGGGGAUAGCUGCUGGGUUUGGAGGAUGUGGAGAAAUUUGGCUGGAAAGAUUGUCCUGUUGCAUUGUAAACCACCGCUGAACCUUCUGAAGAGAUUUCUCAUCUGCACUGUUUUGCUGUAGGUGUUGCUUGUCAUGGACCCAUUUCCUGGUUCUUCUCCUUAAGGGCAUUGUUUCAACUACCCUAGCUGACUGCAUAGAAAGUCAAGGAUUCAUUCUUGCUGAAAUCUCUGAGCCAGCAUGAAGGCACUGUCAGCAGAACUCAUACGUGUUUGACUGCAACUCUGUCUGUACAGAGAAGAAGGCGGCUUUAAUAUUCACCCUUCAAGGUUAAUCAGGUCUUUAAUAAAAGACCAUGGAAAUGUCAGCAGUCUGAACAAACAAACCAGAACUGUAACCGAAUGUUCGUUCAAACAAAGAAAUAUAAACCCUCUUUAUUAAUGUUCUUCACACAGGUAGUGAUGGCAUACAGCUAUCUAUGGAAAUAUUCUCUGCUCUGAAUACUGGAUGAUGAGACUGAUGAGUGCCUAGUAACGACUGACUUAAAAUAUCUCAUUUACUGCAUCUUGAAUCCUAAAUUAGAUCUUGCUAUUACUUCCUCUCCAGUUAAGGAUACGAAGCACUGGAACAGGAAUCCUAGUUGAGCUCUGGAAUUUCUGCUUGUUUUUAAGGAAUAGACAAAUAUCGGUUAGCAGUGACAAUUGUGAGAGGUCCUUCUCUGGAACAGGGGAUAAACCAGUUUUCAGGUGGAACGGUUUUCCUUAAAGCAUACCAUGGACCUUGUCAAAUUUGACUGUUCAGAACCAUGAUCCCUACUACUGGAUCCUCCCCAUGAGCUCAGGUUUGUCUGUGUUUGCACUGCUCUGCUGGAGAUAGGGUGAAAAUGAAGACUGAUGCUUAGCGAUGCAAAGCAAAGUUUAACUGACAUUUAAUUUCGGUGAGACUUCUCCUUUUUAAUGCUGUGCUCUCAGCUGUGAUAUUCAGCCAGUUUUUGACAGAGGUGUGGUGUAGUACUCUUGUAAGAACAUGUGGAGGCAGGAGGGAAUGGGCUUGAGAGAUAAAGCCAGGUGUGGGGCAGCUGUUUCUCAACAGCCAAAGAGAUAGAAGUGUUACUUUAGAGAAUCACGCUGUGAAUAGCCAGUCCUCCAGCGCAACCUGCAGUGGUAGGUAAAAAAAUCCAGUAAUGACCAAACCAUUGGAUUUGUAUUCUGCUGCUGAGUAGCCAAAUCUAGCUUACUGAUUUUCUCCAAAGCUUGUUGGAGCAGGGUAAGAAAGUUUCCAUCAUCAUUAGUCUUUGCAAAAAGGGACUUGAGAGUCUACUGUAGUUCCUGUUGGGUACUGUCCCUGUCACUGAACAUACUAUCCAGAUGUUAGCAGGGAUAGCUUUGCCAGUGUGUUUAUGGGAGAGGCCAAAAUGUGGAGAGGCACAGACUAAACUAAAUCCUUCCUUCCUUCCUUUCUUCCUCGUCAAGGCCUUAGUAGUGUACGUGAACAGUGAAACUAACACUACCUCUGCAGUGCCUGUCUCGUGGAUUAAUGGCAGAAUUUAGUCUCCCUGCAUGUUAACAUGCGCUACUCUCUCAGCAGCAAUAAAUUCACACAAAACUAUCAGCAGUUCACCAAAAACAUGGAGUCCUGUGCUCUCUCGAUUCACCUCAGGUGCACCGUGCCUGAGAUUUCAUAUGAGUAAGUCUCCUUGAUGACUCGUGCACGAGGAGAGGCAUAUUGCUGCUUUAAUUACUUAUAAUGAAGGAUCACGGGACAGUGAUGUCAUCAUUUUAAGACUUGCUAUGUCUAAGUGCACUGCCAGGAAGAGAAAAGAUGAAUGAUGAUUUAUGUGCCUUGGAUAGAAUUCAGGUAAAAACCUCUUCAAAAAUGUUAAUUAUUUGAGGUCACUUUCUAUUACAUAGGAUCUGUUCUUUAGAAUUUCUCACAGGUUAAUAGAGAUGAUUCAGGAGGUCUCAGCCUGGAUUGGUCUGACAAGAAAAAGCAGCAACUGUGUGGGGGAGGGAAAAGGAGGAGACAAAGGGUGUGAUUUAUCGAUGUGCACUUUGCUAUUUGUGACUAACAAAGAGAUGGUUCACAAAUGUCUCAGGCUCAAAGCUGUGAUCUGUCAGAACUGCUGAGCUGGGGAAAUACUACCACUAAGUGAAAAUAGAUUGGUCAGCAGUUAGAGACUUAUCUGCAAGGAGGUCAUCGCGUACUAUCUGUACGUGCAGCAGGAAGAUCGUUUGGCUGGGUUAGGAGUGAGAUAACUUUGUUGCAGUGUUGUCUGUUAUCAAUCAAUAGUUUUAAUUAGUUACAGGAUUAACUAAUAAAAACCCUUGCUG
ensembl:lncRNA